GAUGAACGCUGGCGGCGUGCUUAACACAUGCCAGUCGAACGGGAAACCUUUUAUUUUGGCUUCGGCAGAUUUGGCUGGUUUCUAGUGGCGGACGGGGGAGUAACGCGUUGGUAACCUGCCUUAUACAGGGGGAUAAGAACCAGAAAUGGUUGCUAAUACUGCAUAAGCGCACAGGAUCGCAAGGUCCGGUGUUAAGAACUCCGGUGGUAUAAGUGGGACCCGCGUUGGAUUAGCUGGUUGGCAGGGUAACGGCCUACCAACGCGACGAUCCAUACCCGGCGUGGGAGGGUGAGCGGCGACAUUGGGGCUACGACACAGCCCAGACUCCUACGCGAGGGAGGAGAGGGGAACAUAGCACAAUGGAGGAAACCCUGAUGCCGCGACGCCCGGUAAAGGAAGAUGUAUCUGGGUAACUAAACUGCUAUCAGCAGGGAAGAUAGUGACGGUACCUGACUAAGAAGCCCCGGCUAACUACGUG
rnacentral:rRNA from 1 species